rnacentral:misc_RNA from 1 species
GCAAACUUGGUCAUUUAGAGGAAGUAAAAGUCGUAACAAGGUCUCCGUAGGUGAACCGUAAGUUGCGCCCAUCAAAUUCCGUCGAGAAUCGAACGAAUGCUAACUGUUUCGCAGUGCGGAGGGAUCAUUACCAGAGAUAGGGCCUCCGGGUCCGACCUCCAACCCUUUGUGAUUAAAACCUCUGUUGCCUCGGGGGUGACCCGGCCCUGUGCCGGGGCCCCCGACGGACCAACCUACUCUGCAUCUUUGCGUCGGAUUGAACAAGAAAAUUGAUUAAAACUUUCAACAACGGAUCUCUUGGUUCCGGCAUCGAUGAAGAACGCAGC